AGACUGGGAUAACUUCCGGAAACCGGAGCUAAUACCGGAUAAUCCUUUCCUACUCAUGUAGGAAAGCUGAAAGACGGGUUACGCUGUCACUUACAGAUGGGCCCGCGGCGCAUUAUCUAGUUGGGGAGGUAACGGCUCACCAAGGCGACGAUGCGUAGCCGACCUGAGAGGGUGAUCGGCCACACUGGGACUGAGACACGGCCCACACUCCUACGGGAGGCAGCAGUAGGGAAUCUUCCGCAAUGGACGAAAGUCUGACGGAGCAACGCCGCGUGAGUGAUGAAGGUUUUCGGAUCGUAAAACUCUGUUGUUAGGGAAGAACAAGUACGAGAGUAACUGCGCGCACCUUGACGGUACCUAACCAGAAAGCCACGGCUAACUACGUGCCAGCAGCCGCGGUAAUACGUAGGUGGCAAGCGUUGUCCCGAAUUAUUGGGCGUAAAGCGCGCGCAGGCGGUCCUUUAAGUCUGAUGUGAAAGCCCCCGGCUCAACCGCGGAGGGUCAUUGGAAACUGGGGGACUUGAGUGCAGAAAAGAAGAGUGGAAUUCNNCGUGUAGCGGUGAAAUGCGUACAGAUGUGGAGGAACACCAGUGGGGAAAGCGACUCUUUGGUCUGUAACUGACGCUCAGGAGCGAAAACGUGGGGAGCGAAC
rnacentral:rRNA from 2 species